AACCCACUGAGCAAGGCCAGGGAUCUAACCCUCAACCUCAUGGUUCCUAGUCGGAUUCGUUAACCACUGUGCCACAACGGGAACUUCCCCUUUAGGUUUUUUUCAGAGGAAAAUGUGUAUCUUCAUUGUGUCUCCUUAGAGUUUGUAUUAAUCAUUUCACUUUUUAUGGAAGUAACUUUAUAUACAUUAGCAGUCAUCAUUCAGAGCUUGAUGGAAUGUAUAGUGGUAGUAUUCCAUAGUCCGUCUUUUUUUUCAGAGCUAAUUCUGUUAUUUUUUAAAAUCAUGCACAUUUGAUAUGGUCGUCUGAGGAAGAGGAUUUGUAUAAAUGCCUGCAGUAGAGAUGUCUCAGUCCCAGUUGCUACGAAGAUCUCUCUGGUGUCUAAAUUUAAGUCAUUCAUAUUUCACUUAUGCCUAAUCUGUCUCUGUCUCGCCUUCCUUUCUCAGGCUAGGGGUCAAUUUGGAGCUGUAGCUGCCAGUCUACACCACAGCCACAGCAAUCCCAGAUCCAAGCCCCAUCUUCGACCUACACCAUAGCUCACGGCAAUGCUGGAUCAUUAACCCACUGGGCAAGGCCAGGGAAUGAACCCUUGUCCUCAUGGAUACUAGUCAGGUUCGUUAACUGCUGAGACACAACGGGAACUCCUAUUGUCUUCUUCUCUGGUCAUAUCUGACUGGUUUCCAAGGCCUGUAAGCAGGCCAGGCGAGCUACUGCAGGUCCGCCUUGGGAGUUGAGAGAAGGACUGAUAAGAACUCUUACAGUGCUGAGCAAGAUGGCCCACCUUCCCUGCUUCUGUUCUGUCAGUUGGGCGUGUUCUUUCUUCAUCAUCCUCUUUCAUUUCUCUGCCACACCUACCCAGUUCAGCUUGAUUUACCUUCAUUCCUAUUGCUUCUGAACAUUGGACCAUGGAGACGGUGUGGUUGGGAGUAGAGAACCCACGGUUUGGAACAGAAGGAUUUGCAUUCUGCUGCCAGCUGGGGACCCUUGGCCAAGUCCACAGCCUCCUUUCAGCUGCAGCCUCCAGAGGCCUGGGCACCCUUGAACACUUGUUGCAAUCCUAACACAUUCACUUUAGUGUUUUUGUCACUUACUGACUUUUACGGUCAUCACUGUCACUUUGACUGCAGAAACGCAUCCUGUGUCUCCCUUGGGCUCCUCACCGGCAUGUACAUUCGCCAUCUCCAUUUAACUCCUUCUGUUGCCUAGGGGGUCAGCCAACUAGCUGGCUUGUUAUUUUAGGAUUGGGGAACGAAGGCAAAGGUUUAUUCUCAAGAAACGAUGCCGUGAAGGAAUGUGGCUGAUACAGGGUCCUAUGUAGGGAGAUGCUGUUUUCUGUUAGUCUUCGGCUGGAACUAAAGCAAUUAACCAGAAGACAACACAGCACUUUGGAGAUAAGAGCAGAGGCCCUGCGUGUCAUGAGUCGGGCACGAGCAUGUUUCCUUUCAUAUGUGCACAUGGACAGUGCCAGCUUCACAAUUCAGAACAGGGAGUCAACUCCGAAGUGUGUCGGGUUUAUUGCCUUUCACCUCUUAUCUCCAGAAAAGACAGCAUAUGGCCCUGUUUUUGUACACGCCUGCUGUGACAAUUCCUUCUGUCAAAAAUGAUUUUCUCCAGAAGGAUAGUAUGUAAAUUCUUGGCCGAUCAUUCCCAAAAGAAAGGGAAUAGUGUCGGUUAAGUAGCAUUCCUGAAAACACUGCUUUGACAUGUGAAAGAGGAAUUAACAACCGCAUUUAAGUGUGGACGCUCUGUGUUUUUAAUGAUAUUAAGAAAACACAGUUUUAUAAACAGUAAAGAAUGCUUUCUUCCUGAACUGCUUCCCUUGACUUGAGAGUUGUGGGAUUUUCUUUGUUUGUUUGUUGCUGUUGUUUUUGCUUUUAGUAGAGUUUCCUAUUCCAGAGGGGAAGGGGAAAGUGUCAGAUAGAUUUGGACGGCAGUUAUUUGUGAAAUCAGCUUAAAGGGAAGACUGGGUUCUGUCUUGCGUGAUAUUGGAAUUUGCCAUAAUAAACCAUCACCCAGUUUUGAGGAUUAACGCUGCAGGAUGUCUUAUUUGUAUGAUUGUUCCGUGUCUAGCUUCUCAUAUUAUUUAUUAUUAUAAUAUUUAGAAGGAGACGUGGAAACUAACAACAUUACAAAUCAACUAUACUGCAAUUAAAAAAAACUACAACGGAAGGAGAUGCGGCCACGGAGUUCCACUUUAAGUUUUCGUUAUGUUCAAUAAACCUUUCUCCUUAAAUCCUUCCCGAACCGUGUGAGGAGGAGGAAAGCAUUACUCUUUCCUUCUAAAUAAGUAGGAACUCCCUCCACUUAAAAUUAGAUGGUGCACCAUUAUUUAUUUAUUUAUCAGUUCUUUGUAAAUUGGUAAAACUUCUUUCCUUCAUAACUGUUAAAAAACUACACUAAAGGCUACUUAGGGUCACAGGCCUGUCUGCCAGAAUUUAUCUGUUUGGCUGCCUAGGAAUCUUGUUUCUAUGGAAAUUUUUCUUAAUUUGUAUUGGGCAUUUCAAGAGUGAACUUUCUCUUUUGCCCCUUAUUAGCUCCAAUCAGGAGCUUGUAGAUACAGUACUUAUGUCAUUAGCAGUGUAAUUAUUUUCCCAUUGUUUGGUGGCCAUGGUUCAGAUGCAGGUUUAAUAAGAUUUGUCAGACUGCUUUUAGUACUGGACAACUGGUGCUGCCCUGUUGUCAAAGUAUUGUUUAAUACUUAAUGUUUAACACAAAUCCAGCCUGUCGAAGGAUAACUGGACUUGGGUUUCAUUAUUUUGCAUUUCUUUUCUUCCUUUUUUGUAUAGGGCCUAACCUGUGGCAUAUGGAAGUUCCGAGGCUAGGGCUCGAAUCAGAGCUGUAGCUGCUGGCCUACACCACAGCCACAGCAAAGUCAGAUCUAUGUUGCGUCUUCGACCUACACCACAGCUCAUGGUCCUUAACCCACUGAGUGAGGCCAGGGAUCGAACCCACAUCCUCAUGGAUACCAUUUGGGUUUGUUCCACUGAGCCACGAUGAUAACUCCCAUUCUGCAUUUCUUUUUUCUUUCUUUUCUUUCUUUUUUUUUUUUUUUUUUGUCUUUUUUGCCAUUUCUUGGGCUGCUCCCACGGCAUAUGGAGGUUCCCAGGCUAGGGGUCAAAUCGGAGCUGUAGCCACAGGCCUACACCAGAGCCACAGCAACGCGGGAUCCUUAACCCACUGAGCAAGGCCAGGGAUUGAACCGGCAACCUCAUGGUUCUUAGUCAGAUUCGUUAACCACUGAGCCACGACAGGAACUCCUAUUCUGCAUUUUUUACAGGUCAGGUAAAUGGAAUUCUGUAACUGGGAAGAGAGGGAAGCUUUUAACACAUUUAUUUAAACAUUACUCUUAGCUCUAGUAAUUUGGGUAAAGCUGUUCUGUUCUAAUCAGAAUCUGGUUUUAUUAAAAGUACCCCUCAGGUUUUUGCAAAGCAAGGUUCACAUCAAUAGAAAAUGGCUGGUUAAAAUCUUCUAAGUCAUCUGACUAAUGCAAAAAUAUUAUCAUAGAAUACACUAGAAUUUGUAAUUUUGUUAAUGAGGUUUGUAUAUAUCAGGCACACACAAGUGCGUUUUGAGAAAGUAAACUUGAUUUUCUGAAAUUCCCCAUUGGCGGGUGCCAUGUUUGGUAAAAGGACACAAAUGUGUGUUUUGAGCAGCUGCUUUGUUAAAAGGUGAGCCCCAGUCUGUCAGGGUGAGUUAGGAUUGGCCAGGACUCAAGGGUCUGUGAUUACAUUUCAUCUGUUUGCUGUCUCAACAGAUGGAUCUGCUACUUUGUGAAUUUGUAAUUUGUCCUUCAGCAAUGACUAGAUACACCAAGGACUGUGGGUUCCAUUGACCAGAAAGAGUUAAUGAUGCUUUUCAGUAGGAUGUUAUGUUUCCCAUAGUAGUUUUUAAAUUUAUGGAUCAAACUUUUUCAGAUCUUUGGAAGUUGUCUCAAAAGCUUGAUCCAAGGAAAAUGAGGCCAUUUGUCUUUCCAGGGGUUUCCAUCUCCUCUCAACACCUAAGUGUUAAUGGGAUAAGUAAAAAUGGUUUUCACUUCUUAAAACCUUCAGGCUAUCAUGUGGAGGGGGUCAAAAAUGGAAAGGUUACAGCUUCCUCUGUCUACCAGGUUUUGUUAUGGAAACUGUUCACCAGAUAAUUGGGUUUAAUUUGAAACAGAGGAGAAGAUUUGUAUUGUAAACAAGAAAGUUCUUUGAAGAUAAAUCUUGUCGGUAGCUGUUGGAAGGAUGUUGGAGGAAGCCUUGAAUUUUUUUUUUUUUUUUAAUGGCCUGGAGUGAGAGAGGGUGUUUUGUUGGCUUUUUUUUUUUUCCCACCCCCUUCCCUUGCUUUUUUUGCUAGACUGCAAAGUGUUAGUGGGGCUGGAAGGUGAUAAUUAGUAGUCUUCACCUGAUUUUUUUUUUUUUUUGCAAGCAGACUAAUUAAAAUGUAUAACAACUUUCACUUUUUCCUCCAAAAGGGAAACAUACUUCUUUUGACAGCUGCCUUUCUGACCCUCAGCACUCCUCUCUGCAACCUUCUUUGUUUUAUUGACUGAGUCUUUACACAAUUGAGAAAAACUCUAAUAUGCUUAUUUGUAACUCUUAAAGUGUUAGGAGAAGGACUCCCAUUUGUAAAUGCAAGGUUUGUACCAAGAUUAUACGCCUGUGAAGUCAUUUAUUCAGCAAUUCUCCUGGUUUUUACCUGGGGCUUUUUCUUACUUAGUCUUGUGUCAUUUUAAGUGCCUUAGAAAAUAGUGUUUCUAUGGUCCUCCAUGUUACAACAAUAUAUCACUGAUUCAGUGGUUUCUGUGUUAAUAUGCAUACCAUCUCUCAUUCCAGACUUUACUAUCACACCAAGAACCAACUCAUUUGUCAACAUUUUCGACACAAUAUCUGUAGGUGUUGAUGGGUAGUAGAUGUGUGUGUAGGUUCAUAUUUUAAAUUUUAGGUGCCUCCCUUCAAAUAAUAUAUUAUUCCGGAUUAGCUUUGAUUUUAUAGUCUAAAGUGGUGCUAGAUUUUUAUGAGACAGUCACUACAGUAAAUGUACUACAGUAGAACAUUCUAGAACAUGCAGCUUUUUGUUGUCAAACUUGUGGGGUAGUUUUACUCUUCAAGAUUUUCACCAUCUCAGAAAAUAUUUGGCAUGGAAUUGGUAACAUGUGCUAAGUUUUUGUGUGUGUGUGUGUGUGCAUGCAUGUGUAUGCACACAUGUUUCUAAUCAAUGCCUCUUUGUACAUAACUUUGACUUUUGUACUUACAUUCAAAAUGAUUUUGGGAGUUCCCCAUCGUAGCUCAGUGGUAAUGAACCUGACUAGUAUCCAUGAGAACUCUGGUUCGAUCCCUGGCCUCUCUCGGGGGCUUAAGGAUCCUGCAUUGCCAUGAGCUGUGGUGUAAGUCGCAGAUGUGGCUGGGGUCUGGCGUUGCUGUGGCUGUGGCAUAGGCCAGCAGCUGCAGCUCCGAUUAGACCCCUUGCCUAGGAACUUCCAUAUGCCGAGGGUGUGGCCCUAAAAAGACAAACAACAAAAACCAAAAUAAUUUUCACUAAAUAUUUCUGUAGCUAAAGUGUAAAAAGUUAUCACAUGUUAACUGUGAUAUGAUUAAUGCAGAGAUGCUAAAGCUAAAUUAUAAAUUGUUAUAAGGACUUGAUUUUGCUUUUUUAAAAUGCGUGAUAUGUAAGAUACUUAACAUUCUCUAGGAAAAAGAAUAGUUUAAUUAAGCCAGAAACAAGAGUCUCUGAAAGUCAGAAACAGAUGAUUAGCUCAUUCUGUGGACUUCUUCACUGCUUAGUACUUCGAAGUUACACAAUUUUUUGAAAAUUUAUAACUAGUAUAUAAUUUAUAUAGAUAAUAUUUUUCUUCCUCAGAUGAAAAAAAUAAGUUCAAGACACCUAUCUAGCAAGAAGAAAAAACCUGCCAGUAGGUUGAUGCUCAUAAGACAUGUAGAACACUUUCUAGCCCCCGAUUUGCUCAUGGUGACUGACUGCUGGCAGGAAAUAAACAUUUUUAAGAACCUCACCUUCAAAAUCUCAGAGUCGAGAACUUGGUGAAUAAGCCCUGUGAGUAAAUAGCAUGAAGAUAUUCAAGAGAAAGUGUUCUACUCAUUUCCCAUUUUUUACAAACAUUCAGUUAUGGCUUUUUGCAAUAGAUCCUCAAUUACGUGGUGGAAUAGGGUUUGUAAAAUUUUUUUUUCUAGUUAAUUACAGUCAUACAGGGGUUAACCAGGAACCUAUUUAUAUUCAAGCUCUCUAUUUUUAAACAUUUUUCUAAAAUGUGUUAGGAAACUUUGGCUAUUAUAACACCAAUAAGGAAUGUGAUUCAUUAAGGACAGUGCAUUGACCUGGGUGAAGAUUUUUUUGAAUUUGAAGUUUCAUUUUAGAGGUCUGUGACACAGGCCAUGCCCCAGAAGUUAGAGGAGAGCAGAAAAGUUUUAUCAAAUGACUGAUAUGAAUUUGUUCUGAUGUCAAAUUGAAUUUUUCCUCUAAGUUUAGAGUAAAAAAAAAAA
rnacentral:lncRNA from 1 species